GUACAAUUACUUUGAACAAAUUAGAGUGCUUAAAGCAGGCUUCAAAUGCCUGAAUAUUCUGUGCAUGGGAUAAUGAAAUAAGACCUCUGUUCUGCUUUCAUUGGUUUUCAGAUCAAGAGCUAAUGAUUAAUAGAAGCAGUUUGGGGGCAUAUGCAUAUA